CGCGCAAGCUAGCACUCCUGAGAAGGGCGAUCUGAUUGGGGCUUCAAGUGGACUUUUCAUAGAAAUCAGACAUCUGUGUGACUAUGAGCAACUAGCGAGGAUCUUCUUUACUAUAUCUCUCAGUAGUGGCAAUCAUCGACCUAUGCUCAGAUAUUGAGUUCUAAAUUCAGAUAGAUGUAGAUUUGAUCUACUGCUUAUAUCCAUGCAUGCAGAUUUUAUCUUCUAUUCUUUUCAGAU
rnacentral:lncRNA from 1 species